rnacentral:pre_miRNA from 1 species
AAAAAGUAAACUCUGGAUUUCCGUGUCCAAUUUUGACUGUCCGUUUUAUAUAAAUUUUUUUUAUAAUUUGUAUUUUAAUUGUUGUUAGAUGAUAAAACAUGAUUAAUAUUUUAUGCGUGACUUGUUUUUUUUAAUUUUUUUCAUAAUUUUUUCAAAUAAGACGGACGGUCAAAUGUUAGACAUGGAAACAGGGUUUGUCUUUUU